rnacentral:rRNA from 1 species
CCUACGGGGGGCAGCAGUGGGGAAUAUUGCGCAAGGGGCGAAAGCCUGACGCAGCGACGCCGCGUGAGGGAUGAAGGUCUUCGGAUCGGAAACCUCUGUCAGCAGGGAAGAACGGUCACGGGGCUAAUCAGCAGUGAAUUGACGGUACCUGCAAAGGAAGCACAGGCUAACUCCGUGCCAGCAGCCGCGGUAAUACGGAGGGGGCGAGCGUUAAUCGGAAUUACGGGGCGUAAAGCGCUCGUAGGCGGUAUGUCAAGUCAAGGGUGAAAUCCCCGCGCUCAACGUGGGAACUGCCUUUGAAACUGGCAACCUGGAUUGUGUGAGAGGCUAGUGGCAUUCCAGGUGUAGUCG